rnacentral:lncRNA from 1 species
AAACACCAGAAAAUAUUAAUUUUUUCAAAAAGUAAGUUAUUUUACAGAAAUCAUUUUCAGUGAAACAAAUAGACCCAAAAAAGCACAUUUCUAUUCUUUAAUGAAGUAAUUCAAUAACUCAUGCGAUACAAAAUAACUUAUCCAAAGCCAAUUUAAUGCAUUUGAGUCAUGACCAGUGUCAAAUUAUAAAACAAAGAGAAAGAUUCCACUAAAAAUGUAUAAUUUCGAGAGCUCAAAGCAUUCCAGCAAAGGAUCCUCGGGAAGAGACCUGCAAUACGACUGGUACGUUCCCCUACACACACAAGUUGAAGAAUCAAUACAAACAUCCAUUGAACACAAACAAAAAAUAACCAACCAUACAAAUAAACAAUCAACAAAAACGAAAUUCACCUCCAAUACAAAAAGAUAACCUUAUAUCCAACCUUAAUAAAACACUUGCAAAUAAUAGUUUCACUCAGCUAAAAAGGAGCCCACCAAUCAAUAACAAAUCUCAAAUUGUUCAAAAUUCCUUCACAUUAGUAUGCAUCCAGUUACUCUAUAACAAGGGUCCAAAGGAGGUAGAUCGAAACAGUAGUAGUACAUGAACUUUUUUAAGUGAAAUGGAGAUAAGAGCAAAUGAACAAUUAGCAACUACUCAACAACUUACACUAGGAAAUUAACCCAUAAGUUUAUGCAAUUGAACAAUGAACUUUUUUUUAUAUGUUUUGCUUAAAAAUGCAAUUAGUCUUGAAACUUCAUGCAUAAAUCAUUUUGGCUUCAGAAAGAGAGCAAAGAACUGAUUUGAGCUAAAAUUUGACAAUAGUUGAUAGUACAGGAAACAUUAAACAUGGUGUAAGCUUCUAAUAUUGUGGUUCAAUAAUUCGAUUAAUACAACCAGUUGGUUUAAAUUAUUAAACAUGGUGUAAGGUUCUAACAAUGAAAACAAAAAUACAAGAUAAAUCAUAGCAAUUCCUUGAUAAUAACUUCAUUGUAACAUUUGCAGGAUUCAAUUUAAAAAAAAAAACCAGAAACCUUCUUGUGAAUAACCCAGCUAAUAAUGAUAAUGAUGUAUAAAAAUGGGGAAAUUGAGACCUUCCAACAUAAAAAAUGGAAGGUGGAUCCACUUUUAUCCACUUCCAUAACAAAACUUUUAGAUUAGCUUCAUAUCAUAUCAAAACCUAUAGCAGAUCACCCUCUUUUUGGAGCAUUAUCCGAUUAUUACCUGAUUUGUUCAAGAUACCAGACAGUUCCAUGGUUCUAAUACAACCAGUAUUAGUUUAAAUUAUUAACUUGAAGAAAACAAAGGCAGUGAGAACUUUCCUUGAAAACAUAACACAAUGGAAAAGAAUCAAAUUUUGGAGAGAGUUCAAGUCCCAAACCAAGUUAUCAAAUCUGAUGAAAAUUAAUAAUAAAAAACUCAUUAAUCAAAUCCAAGAACAAAGAGAGGAAAAUUCCAUCAUAAAGUGACAGAGCAAUCCCUAAAAAGUUGGUUUUCUUGUAGGGUUUGAUCUGAAUGGAGUUUGGAGAGGUGAGAGAUUGAUGAGAGAAUCUAGGAAUAAAAGGAAAACGUGAAGAAAAAGAAGAAAGAAUGGAGGAUGAUGCCUUCAAUCAAUUCACCUAGGUUCCCUCCGCAACCAAAGGAAAAAAAAGGGAAGCGUAGAGAUUGAAAGGAAAGAAAGUUACUAGUGAGAUCAAGGGAGAACGAUGAUGGUUCUAGUUACAUCGUCUUCAUCUUUUGGGUAAAGGUGAGGGAAAAAAAUGAAAAUGAGAAAAAAAAAUCUCCCUAUUCCACCGGGUUGAAUGGAUAUUCAGUGAUGGGGGAAGGGAAUGGUUAUGCAACCUCUUCUUGGAAUAAACCCUGAUUCAAUGCAGGCUGUAAUAGGUCAUUACAAGCAACCAAACAUAAGUUUGGUGGUGGACUCGUCGAUUUAGGCUAUAACUUUUGCAGUUCUUCACUUUUGAAAAGUGCUUCGUCGAAAAAUACUUUUUAAAAUAAAAUAUUUAUUUUAGAUAUGUUAUUA